AUUAUUAUAUAAUUGAUUAAGAAAUUCUUAGUACUCCCUGUCCUUUUUUUGUUUUUGUAAUUUUCAAAAAUUUUAUUAAAAAAAGAUUUAUUAUUAUUUUUUUAUAUAUUCCAACAAUCUAAUUUUUACAUGCCAAAUUAAAGUUAAUGGCAUCCGAUUUUAUCAGACGCACUCCAAUCUAAUACAAAAUUAAGCAUGCCAAACACACCAUAAAUAGCUUAUUUUGAUUUUUGCUCAUAAUUUUGAAAUUGUAGAUAAGAAAUGGAUAGCACACCUCCUGAGAAGCCAAGUAGUCUGCUUCAACUUAGGUCAGAGUGCCUAAUGCUGCAAUGCAGUUUGUGGAUUCAGCAAUCAGGACGGAGUUUCAUCUGCAGCCAACAAUAGAUACAAGGGUCUUUGUUACUUUGGCAGAACUGUCUCAAAGAUCGUCGCUCAACAGGAAGAUGAAACCACAUGAGAAAUUUGCCGCUGAAAUGGAACUUCUGCAGAAAACAAAUAAACACUAAUCAUGGUGCUGCAUAAUAAAUCAAAAUCUACUCAUGCAGACAACUUCAUUCUAGAUUUGUACAUGUGAUUUUUACUCUAAAUAACAUUUCGGGUUUUAUUUCA